rfam:Myotis lucifugus cont2.23811, whole genome shotgun sequence.
AGAGGCCCAUCCGUGGCCGGGCGCGGAAUGCUUGCCUCAUUGCCGCGGCAAUGAAGCAAGCAUUCCAUCAGGCCGCUCACACUGCCUGC